UUUGUUCCAGAAAAAUGUUUUCACGCUCCGUGUUUAAUUUUUUUUUGGAGCUUUGCUAAUAAUUGCCGUUAUUCCGGAUGGGGCAUCUUAUAACAAAUACGGAAGAACCUGUAAAGAUAUUGGCUGUCGUAGCGAUGAAAUGUGUGUGAUGGCUGAGGAUCCUUGUACUGCUUAUACAGAUAAAUGCGGACGAUAUCCAACAUGCCGGAAAAUAAGUG